rnacentral:rRNA from 1 species
GAUGAACGCUGGCGGCGCGCAUAACACAUUCAAGUCGAACGGUGACGGGACUUCGGUCCCUGAUCAGUGGCGGACGGGUGAGUAACGCGUGAGCAACCUGCCCUUAUGUGGGGGACAACGUUUGGAAACGAACGCUAAUACCGCAUAAUGUUACGAGAUCGCAUGUUCUUGUAACCAAAGAUUUAUUGCGUAAGGAUGGGCUCGCGUUGGAUUAGAUAGUUGGUGAGGUAACGGCCCACCAAGUCUACGAUCCAUAGCCGGACUGAGAGGUUGAACGGCCACAUUGGAACUGAGAAACGGUCCAGACUCCUACGGGAGGCAGCAGUGGGGAAUAUUGGGCAAUGGGCGAAAGCCUGACCCAGCGACGCCGCGUGCGGGAAGAAGGUCUUCGGAUUGUAAACCGCUUUUAUUAGGGACGAAUUAAUGACGGUACCUAAUGAAUAAGCCACGGCUAACUACGUGCCAGCAGCCGCCGUAAUAC